CUCUGCUGCGCAUGCGCACUUUCACUCCAGGGCUGCUCGUCCUCUGGCUUUGUGUCCAAACCGAAAGUAAACUCAGCAAAGAGACGCGCAUUUAGAAGAUCGCCAUUAAAUCCUAAAUAAUAAGACGAAUAUCGAAGCGGCCAUAAACAUCGCAUUACAGACUGAAGUCAGUUUGUGAUUAUGGAGAGCAGAGAGAGCAGAGAGAGAUCUUCAUCUGCUGAUCACAGCUGUGUGUCUCUGAAGAGUGACGGAUCUAUGGGUCCUCCUCCUGACCUCAGUGAUGAUCCAGUGACCUCUGACCCCAGGAUCUUCAGGAGGAGGAAG
rnacentral:lncRNA from 1 species